ensembl:lncRNA
AUGAAACACAAAACAUAUAUCAGUAUUAAUGAUAGAUAUACAAUGGCAAAAGAUCAUAAAAGGGCGUGGAGGGGGCACUCUAUAGCGCCACCUUUUGUCAAAAGUGGGGGGCUUAGUUUUAGCUACAGACACCAAACUCAGUACAUAAAUUGUUCUUAUCAAGACGGACAACUUUCUAAUUUACAGUCUUAUCUGCCUCAAAAUGACCAGAACAGAAUAUUCAAGAUUGACAAGUUGCCAUGGCAACACUAUAUUAGAUAUCAAUAUCCCCACAACAGAUUUACAUUGGCCGUGUUUUGUCAUUAUUCUGAUGAAGUUUGAAGCAAAUCGAGUGAAAAUAAGAUGCUGAAUACAAAGCAUUUUGAAAAUGAUUAUAACUGAAUAUCGGCAUGUAAAUGUCUUCAGGCCAGGACUCUUACCAAACAUGCAAAGUUUCGGGCAGAUCAGACAUUGCAUGUUUAAGUUAGUGUAAAAGUAAUUUCCUGUUGCCAGCAGGUGGCGCUAAGACUAUAAACAAAUAUUGGCCUAAAGAUGAGUUCAGGCCAGGACCCAUAUCAAACACAAGAACUUUGGGCAGACCGGAUAUUGCAUGUUUAAGUUAGUUUAAAACAAGUAAUUUCCUGUCACCAGCAGGUGGCGGUAUGAUUAUAACUGAAAUAUUGGCCUUAAAAUCUGUUGAGACUAGGAAUCUUAUCAAACAUGUGAAGUUUAGGGCAGAUCAGACAUUUCAUGUUUAAGUUAGUUUAAAAUAAGUUAUUUCCUGUUGCCAGCAGGUGGCACUAUAAUUAUUAUUGAAUAUUGGCCUUUAAAUGUGUUCAGGCCAGGACUCUUAUAAAACGUGUGAAAUUUGGGGCAGAUUGGGCAUUGUAUGCAUGAGUUACAACAACUUCCUGAUUCAUAGUAUUAAUAGCAUCCUUUAGCACAUAGUAAGUGUUGCUAGCAUGUUUGAGAAUAUUUCUAGCAUGAUUAGUACACAAUGGCAUAUUUUACGGUGUUGCUAAUAGUGCAUAAAAGUAAUAAAACAUGUCACUUCCUGUUGUCAGUAGGUGGCAUUAUAACUAUAACCAAAUAUGAGCAUGUAGAUAUCUUCAGGCCAGGACUCUAAUCGAACUUGUGAAGUUUGAGGCAGAUUGGACAAUGUAUGCACGAGUUACAGUAAUGUUCUACUUCACUGCAUUAAUUAGGGCCCGAGCACCGAUGGUGUGAGGACCCUAUUGUAUCUGCUUCGUUUAUUAGGGCCCGAGCACCGAUGGUGCGAGGACCCUCUUGUAUCUGCUUUGUUAGGGCCCGAGCACCGAUGGUGUGAGGACCCUCUUGUAUCUGCUUUGUUUAUUAUUAUUAUUAUUCUUCUCCUUCUUCUUCUUCUACUUCUCCAAAAUGAAUCGCAUUUUUGAGGGCCUAAACAUGCUCGAAAAGUCCUGAAACUUUGCACACGCGUCAGACCUGGUGAAAAUUUACGUCUGAUAUAGGUUUCAGAAGAGGGUGUGGCAAAAUGGCUCGACAGCGCCACCUACCGUAAAAAUCAACAGCCCUCGAGCUGUGUUUCACGUACAUGCACGAAAAAUUGGCACACAUAUGUAAAGCAUCAGUACCUACAAAA